UACGUAGGGUGCAAGCGUUGUCCGGAAUUAUUGGGCGUAAAGAGCUCGUAGGCGGUUUGUCGCGUCUGCUGUGAAAACUCGGGGCUUAACCCCGGGCCUGCAGUGGGUACGGGCAGACUAGAGUGCGGUAGGGGAGACUGGAAUUCCUGGUGUAGCGGUGAAAUGCGCAGAUAUCAGGAGGAACACCGGUGGCGAAGGCGGGUCUCUGGGCCGUAACUGACGCUGAGGAGCGGAAAGCGUGGGGAGCGAACAGG
rnacentral:rRNA from 1 species